rnacentral:rRNA from 1 species
CUAUACAUGACUCUGCGCAUAUCAAUAAGCGGAGGAAAAGUCAAGGUAUACCUACGCUUAGGAUGUUGAAGAUAUGCGCGACACGACUCUAUACAUGACUCUGCGCAUAUCAAUAAGCGGAGGAAAAGAAACUAACAAGGAUUCCCUUAGUAACGGCGAGUGAAGCGGGAAGAGCUCAAUUUGAAAUCUUCAAGGUUCUACCUUGACGAAUUGUAGUUUAUAGAAGUGUUUUCUGUUAGUAGAGUGGCAAAAGUUCUUUGGAAUAGGACAUCAUAGAGGGUGAGAAUCCCGUAUUUGGUCAUUCUUUCUAGCUUUGUGAUACACUUUCAACGAGUCGGAUUGUUUGGGAAUGCAGUCCAAAAUGGGUGGUAAAUUUCAUCUAAAGCUAAAUAUUGGCGAGAGACCGAUAGCGAACAAGUACCGUGAGGGAAAGAUGAAAAGAACUUUGAAAAGAGAGUUAAACAGUACGUGAAAUUGUCAAAAGGGAAGCGUUUGACACCAGUGUUGUUUUUCCGAAAAUCAAUUACGAAUGUUUUAUUUUGAGAAGUUAUGACUUCAUCGGCCUGCUUCUCUCUUUAUGAAACUUUCUUAAUGCACUUUUCAGUUAACAAGUCAACAUCAAUUUCUUUUGUUGUAAAAGGGUAAGAGGAAGGUGGCUUACGCUUCGGCGUAAGUGUUUAUAGCCUUUUACCUCUGCAAUCGGAGAGAUUGAGGACAGCAGCGUAGACUCUUCGGGGUUAGAUACACUUGUGCUAAGCUAUAGCCUUGUAUAGACAACUUGUUGACUAUGCUCAGUCAUGUAGCUUACUCGCUUGUGCUAUUUUACCUACGCUUAGGAUGUUGAAGAUAUGCGCGACACG